UGGGGAAUAUUGGACAAUGGGGGCAACCCUGAUCCAGCCAUGCCGCGUGUGUGAAGAAGGCCUUUUGGUUGUAAAGCACUUUAAGCAGUGAAGAAGACUCCAUGGUUAAUACCCAUGGACGAUGACAUUAGCUGCAGAAUAAGCACCGGCUAACUCUGUGCCAGCAGCCGCGGUAAUACAGAGGGUGCAAGCGUUAAUCGGAAUUACUGGGCGUAAAGCGAGCGUAGGUGGCUUGAUAAGUCAGAUGUGAAAGCCCCGGGCGUAACCUGGGAACGGCAUCUGAUACUGUUAGGCUAGAGUAGGUGAGAGGAAGGUAGAAUUCCAGGUGUAGCGGUGAAAUGCGUAGAGAUCUGGAGGAAUACCGAUGGCGAAGGCAGCCUUCUGGCAGCAUACUGACACUGAGGUUCGAAAGCGUGGGUAGCAAACA
rnacentral:rRNA from 1 species